CUACUGGUAUUUUGUGCAUGGAGCUGUCACAACUUUGAUAUUAUAUAGAACAUUCAUAGUGUUUUAUUGAGGAGGCAAUAAAUCUUAUAAAAUAUGUGAUUAAUUGGAUGGUAUGUUUUCCUUUCUGACCUUAACCCAAUCCACUGUAUUAGUUGAUGUGAAAUCUAUAAAUCUCACAUUUCUUUAUAAUCUAUCACAUAGGAAUCAAUGGCCCAAUCAAGUAAACUAUAUCAUUUAAUUUGCUUGCUUUAGCUCUAUGUCUGUAUAAAAUCACACUUAUGGAUUUUAUAUAAUUGAAAAUGAAUGUAAAGAAUCCAAGACCUAGGCUGAUUAUGUAAAAAUUGGUAAGUGCUAUCAGUCAAUGAAUCUCCUGAAUGUUUUUAUUGGAAGUACACAGAAAAAUCCAUGAGAGUGUUCACACUUGCUAGUAAGUAACUGAUACAGUAAAGAAGUGUCUUCAGGAAUCUAAAAGUAAA
rnacentral:lncRNA from 1 species